rnacentral:rRNA from 1 species
UACGUAGGGGGCAAGCGUUGUCCGGAAUCAUUGGGCGUAAAGAGCAUGUAGGCGGCCCGGUAAGUCCGCUGUGAAAGUCCAGGGCUCAACCCUGGGAUGCCGGUGGAUACUGUCGGGCUCGAGUCCGGAAGAGGAGUGUGGAAUUCCUGGUGUAGCGGUGAAAUGCGCGGAUAUCAGGAGGAACACCAAUGGCGAAGGCAGCACUCUGGGACGUGACUGACGCUGAGACGCGAAAGCGUGGGGAGCAAACAGG